GCCCGCCCAAGCCAAUCUAACAUUUGAACUGCAUAAUUCAUUGUGACUGUUAAUAAGAGAAGUUUAUAGCAACUUAGCGCUAGUUUUCUGUACAGAACAAUAUAUACCUCUAUACGCUCUGUUGUAUGGCAAGCAGAAAAGUUAUUCCUGCUGUUAAAGUUCAUUUGUGUGUAAAGUAACAGCCAGCAGCUAUAAUAUAGCCAGCUAGGCACAGGACAUUACAGGGUUAAUUUGAGUACUCCAGCCACCUGACAGUCUAGUCCAAUCAGAACCCAGCCUCACUCUGAGAUCUUCUAGAAUCUAGCCAGACAUGCCAGCAGCCAUCUUAGAGACAGAAUCUUCAGAGAGCAUGCCAGAGUAGAGAAACUGCCCUUAAGAUCCUAUGAGGCGAAAAUAGUUCUACCACAUUCUACACAUUCUACGCAUUCUACGUGUACUUACUGCACUUAUAUUGCACCAAUAUUGCUAAAACUCAUCAUCUUUGUUCCUGAUUCCCUAUCCUGAUGAUGUUACCAAUAAAGAAAGUUAUUUUUGUA